AUUGAACGCUGGCGGCAGGCCUAACACAUGCAAGUCGAGCGGAGCGGCGGACGGGUGAGUAAUGCCUAGGAAUCUGCCUGGUAGUGGGGGAUAACGUCCGGAAACGGGCGCUAAUACCGCAUACUAUCAGAUGAGCCUAGGUCGGAUUAGCUAGUUGGUGGGGUAAAGGCCUACCAAGGCGACGAUCCGUAACUGGUCUGAGAGGAUGAUCAGUCACCCUGGAACUGAGACACGGUCCAGACUCCAUCUAUAUUCAUCAUUACUAAAUAUUCAACAAUGAUCGAAAGCCUGAUCCAGCCAUGCCGCGUGUGUGAAGAACUUCUUCGGAUUCUAACGCACUUUAAGUUGGGAGGCGUUACCAACAGAAUAAGCACCGGCUAACUUCGUGCCAGCAGCCGCGGUAAUAC
rnacentral:rRNA from 1 species